GGGGGGAGUGCAGGAUCCUGGGGUGUGUCCCCGGCGCCCUGGGCUCCGGGGCCUGCACUGCUGGAAUCAUGCUCCCGGGCCGCAGCUCCCG
rnacentral:pre_miRNA from 1 species